rnacentral:rRNA from 1 species
GACGAACGCUGGCGGCGUGCUUAACACAUGCAAGUCGAGCGGUAAGGCCCUUUCGGGGUACGACGAGCGGCGAACGGGUGAGUAACACGUGGGUGACCUCGCCCUCCAGCUCUGGGAUAAGCCUGGGAAACCGGGUCUAAUACCGGAUAUGACUCCAUGACGCAUGUUGUGGGGUGGAAAGCCUUGUGCGGCUGAGGAUGGGCCCGCGGCCUAUCAGCUUGUUGGUGGGGUGAUGGCCUACCAAGGCGACGACGGGUAGCCGGCCUGAGAGGGCGACCGGCCACACUGGGACUGAGACACGGCCCAGACUCCUACGGGAGGCAGCAGUGGGGAAUCUUGCGCAAUGGGCGAAAGCCUGACGCAGCGACGCCGCGUGAGGGAUGACGGCCUGGUGUAACU